UUUUUAGAAUGAAUAUGUCCCAUGAAAUAUUUGGGACAUACUUAUACUAAAA
rfam:Ovis aries breed Texel chromosome 7, whole genome shotgun sequence.